UUGGGAUGGCACGAAUGCUAGUUCGAGCGCCUCAGCCAAACGAGGCGCGGCAUACAGCUCAGUAACACGUGGCUAAUCUGCCCUUGGGACAAAAACAACCCCGGGAAACCGGGGCUAAUUUUUUUGACAGAUGAAGAACUCUGGAAUCGAGUCUUCGUUUAAAAGACUUCACGUUAUGCUCGUGAUGUUGCCCAAGGAUGAGGCCGCGACCGAUCAGGUUUGUUGGUGAGGUAAUGGCUCACCAAGCCUUUUACCGGUGCGGGCCGUGAGAGCGGGAGCCCGGAGAUGGGCACUGAGACAAGGGCCCAGGCCCUACGGGGCGCAGCAGUCGCGAAAACUUUGCAAUACACGAAAGUGUGACAGGGCUAUCCCGAGUGCCUUCCGCUGAGGAGGGCUUUUACCUAGUAUAGAUCGCUAGGGGAAUAAGGAGAGGGCAAGUCUGGUGUCAGCCGCCGCGGUAAUACCAGCUCUCCGAGUGGUGUGGAUGUUUAUUGGGCCUAAAGCAUCCGUAGCUGGCUAAGUUAGUCCCUUGUUAAAACCACCGAAUUAAUCGGUGGAUUGCGGGGGAUACUGCUUGGCUAGGGGACGAGAGAGGCAGACGGUAUUUUCGGGGUAGGGGUGAAAUCCUAUAAUCCCGGGAAGACCACCAGUGGCGAAGGCUGUCUGCUAGAACGCGCCCGACGGUGAGGGAUGAAAGCUGGGGGAGCGAACCGGAUUAGAUACCCGGGUAGUCCCAGCCGUAAACGAUGCAGGCUAGGUGUUUGGACGGCCACGUGCCGUUCUAGUGCCGCAGGGAAACUGUUAAGCCUGCCCCCUGGGGAGUACGAUCGCAAGAUUGAAACUCAAAGGAAUUGACGGAAU
rnacentral:rRNA from 1 species